rnacentral:misc_RNA from 1 species
UAAAUUAAUCGGAAAGUUAUAAGAGUUUACUCCUUAGAAUCGAUUUUCAUAUAAGAGGGCGUUAAAUUAUUGAACGAAUGAUAUCGAUAUGAUGUCGAUAGAUGGCGUUAUUUGAUUCGUUUAUUUACCAUUUGAUAUGGUAUUAAUCUUUUUCUUAGACUAGUAAGCCUUUUUGUAUCUAUUUAGACAGUCGAUCUGAAGGAGUAAACUCCAGUCGUGCGUCGGAGCUGACACGCACACUUUUUUUGUGUAUUAACGGUUCGUACAGAAACCGAAUCGAAACGAAUGUAGGAACUGAGCAUUAGUAACUAAAGAUUUCCUGUAUUUAUAAUAUUAAAUAAUAAUUUUAAACUACGUUUCAGAUUACAAAGUAUUUUUUUUAUCUUUAACUUAUAAUCAAUCAUUUGUUGUUGUGUAUUUAU